UAUUAAUCUGGGGAUCAUAGAAUGGAGGUUGUCACAACAGCUAGAAUAUGGGUCUCCUUAUCCUGACUGGAUUUUGUUUAAAAUCAAGUAACAGGUUCCAAUUUAGCAGGAUGGUCCCAUCCUACUUAUAAGACUGGACAAGUUAGUUUCUAUUGUUUCCACCUGUUUUUGUUCCAGGAACACCAGUGCCAUUAAACUACCAAAAGGAUGCCAUAAAAUAUCUAUCUCUUACAUGUCCACUUGACUGGUUUGCACAUCAAGGAUACUGCUACAAAGUGUCAGAAGAGGAAAAAAACUGGCUUGAAAGCCAGAAGUCCUGUAAUUUGCAGAAUUCUUCCCUGGCCAAAAUUACAGAGGAGGAAAUGGGUAUUAUGAAGAUGUUCACAAUAGAACACGGCUUUUGGAUCGACUUCAAGAGGGAACCGAAUCAACCCUGGAAGUCGUCUGAUGGAGAAAAUGCCACGAUGGAAAUCAAGGGAAAUGGAGGCAAUUGUGCGUAUUUGCGCAACGAUGUCACAGCCAUGUCAAUGAGAUGCGGCAAUGAGCACUACUACAUGUGCAAAAAAGAAAUGCUCCUAAGAGAUCCUGAAAGAGAACUGGAAGUAGUCCUUGACUUAUAACAGUUCAUUUAGUGACCAUUCAAAGUUACAACAGCACUGAAAAGUGACAUACAACCAUUUUUCAUACUUACAAUGUUUGCAAAAAUUAUUUUUAUAUGCAGUUGACAUCAUUAAAUUAUAAUUCCUU